GAUGAAGAACGUAGCGAAAUGCGAUAAGUAAUGUGAAUUGCAGAAUCCAGUGAAUCAUCGAAUCUUUGAACGCACAUUGCGCCCUUUGGUAUUCCUUAGGGCAUGCCUGUUCGAGCGUCAUUUGAAACCUCAAGCUCAGCUUGGUGUUGGGUGUCUGUCCCCGCCUCCGCGGGGACUCGCCUCAAAAUCAUUGGCGGCCGGUACGUUGGCUUCGAGCGCAGCAGAAACGCGAACUCGAGGCCCGGCGGAUCGGCGACCAGAAGUCUCUUCUUCACAGUUUGACCUCGGAUCAGGUAGGGAUACCCGCUGAACUUAAGCAUAUCAAUAAGCGGAGGA
rnacentral:misc_RNA from 1 species